GUAGUGGCUCAGUGGUAGAGCACUUGCCUGGCAUGUGUGAGGCCCUGGGUUCAAUCCUCAGCUCCACA
rnacentral:tRNA from 1 species